rnacentral:lncRNA from 1 species
AUGCACACACAUGUGCAUACACCCAUGUACAUAUACACAUACACACACACACAUGUGCAUACACACAUGUGCAUAUACACAUGCACACACACAUGUGCAUACACACAUGUGCAUAUACACAUGCACACACACAUUGGCACACACAUGUUCAUAUAUACAUGCACACACACAUGUGCAUACACACAUGUGCAUAUACACAUGCACACACACAUUGACACACACAUGUACAUAUACACAUGCACACACACAUUGGCAUACACAUGUACAUAUACACAUGCACACACAUGUGCAUACACACAUGUGCAUAUACACAUGCACACACACAUGUGCAUACACACAUGUGCAUAUACACAUGCACACACACAUGGGCACACACAUGUACAUAUACACAUGCACACACACAUUGGCAUACACAUGUACAUAUACACAUGCACACACAUGUGCAUACACACAUGUGCAUAUACACAUGCACACACACAUUGGCACACACAUGUACAUAUACACAUGCACACACAUGUGCAUACAUACAUGUACAUACACACAUGCACACACAUGUGCAUACACACACGUGCAUAUACACAUGCACACACAUGUGCAUACACACAUGUGCAUACACACAUGCACACACACAUAGGCAUACACACACAUGUGCAUACAGAUACAUUUGCACAUACUUGCACAUACUGUGCACAUACAUGUGUAUACACACAUACACAACUUCAUCUUGUUGUCGUUUUGUUUUUCUAGAUAGGGUUUUCUCUGUGUAGCCUUGGCUGUCCUGAGCGCUGGGAUUAAAGGAGUGCAUCACCACUGCCCAGCAUAAAAAAAAAAAAAAAACCUUUUAAGGAAAAGAAAGGUUAGGAAGAAAGAGAAAGAAAGAGAAUUGGUAUCUGAGCUGCCAAGCUGAGUAGAUAUUUUAGAAGAGCUGACUAUCCUUUUAGGCGGCAGUUCUCAACCCUGUGGGCUUGUCUUGCUGGACAUGAAUAGGCACCCAGCAUGGCCACAUCAAAAUGUCUGGCCCUAGGUCUAGUGAAGGCUCACUUGCCUCUCCAUUAUAGAAAAGUUUUAUGUGCCUGGACUCACUCCCAGCAAUGUAUAGUAUCAGAGAGUGGGUGUAGGAUGGCCUUGAAUUCCAAGUGUCUUGGAAGCUCCAAUGAGCCCACUUUUGGACACAUACCAGGUGUGUACCUCCCUAAUCUCUACACCCCACACCCCACACCCCAAGCAGGUCAAGGAAGACUAACUUCCCCAUAGGUCCCCAAGCCUCAAAGCUGCUCUCAGCCAGACCCAACACAACCACACAGGCUUUCCCCUUGCUCUGCCUCCUGGCACUGGGGAGGGAUCAAUUUCCAGUCAGUCCUGCUUGCCUGCAGGCUCUGUUUCGUCCUGAUAAUGCACGGGUAACCUGGUUAUGCCCAUGGUGUCUAGGGCUUCCUCAUCCAUUCUGUUGCCUUCCCCAGAAAAGACUAACAAGAAGGGGAGAAAGGAGGUAUAAAACAUGGAGCCUCCUCCUUUUCUGCCAAGGCCACCCCUCCCCACACUCCUGGCCCUUCCCUUGUCAUUCAGCAACUAUUUAUUUAACAUUGACUAAAUGCCAGGGCUGGUGCCAGCCACUGGGUGACAAUAAGGGCAGGACCUGUCCUCAGGAAGCUCAAGGGUGGGAAUGAGAGGAGGAAACAGCAAACAAUUACAGAGUAGGUGGAUGAGUGACCCUGGAGAUCCCUAAGAACCCAAGACCUCCAAGCUGAGUACUCUUGGCAAAGCAUAAGGGAGGUGGGUGUCAGCUCAUGGUUCCUUCACAGAAGACAAGGUUGCAAACUCACCCAGUGCAUUAUUUUGGAAUUUACAGUACUUAAAGGUGACUUAUUUCCCAUUGGGAAUUUGGGCUUUGUCGGGGAAGGGGGGCCAUGGCAAGGCCUUUGGGCAGGGUUUGCCUCUAGGGAAUUGAUUUUGGCUGCAGUGAGCUUGGAGGCAUGCAUAGAUUCCAGCCAGGGCUCUGCCCCUUAGGACCUGUGUGUGCCUCUGGGACAAUCACUUCUUCUUCAGAACCGCGGGGUUUUCAUCUGUAUAAAGCACAUUGGGAGAUGAGGAUGAAGAUGAGUAUUUAUACGAUGCAUCUGGACCAUAAAGGACCCAGACUGGGGAUGGACAGAGAUUGUGAAGCUGCCCCUGCUCCUGCCUCUUGCCCCCCCUUCUCUGGGCUUCUCUGUGAUCUCAGAACACUCUUGAUCGUUGUUUUCAGGGAAAGAUCACACGGAGAAGCCAAGAGAAUGGCCAGGAAGCAGCCUGGGUGGGACUGGGGUUUGAGCAUGCGCCUGUUCUCAGCACUGCUGGAGAUGCCAGGGCAAAGGUGCAGCUCGGGAAGGCCCAAUACCCAAGGCAAGGGAAUGGGCCAGUUACCUCAGAACUGAGGAUCCCAAACCCCACACUUGCGCUCUACAGUGAGUCCUAUUGCCCAUGCCAUCUCAACCUCCAAAGUUUCUCUAUCAUACCGAAGGGUAAGAGGAGCUAGGGACAGUGCGACCAGGGAGUGGAUAUGUAAGCCCCCGGAUCCCUAUGGUUUAGGAGCCAGCAGGCUGUCCUAUUUUUUAUUUUUACAUUUGUUUGUUUGUUUGUUUUAGCUUUCCACCAGGCCUGCCAGCCCCAGUCUCCAACUGCACUGUCAUGGAGGCCC